CACGCCCAGUCAGCAGUCUGUCAUAUACAGUGCCUACCAUACAGCCACUUACGACACCUGAACAGAUUGGUGUUGCUUAAAGGACCAAACAGGAACUUUAUUCAGCCGCUGAACCUGGACCCGGUUUGACAAGUUCAGAAGCGCCCCCCCCUGCAGAAAGUACCAAAACUGUGAAGAGCUUUUUUGAAAAGACAAGGUGGGGAGAUGUUGCAGGAAGCAUCUUCUACACAAGAGGUUGACAUCAAACUACCAGAUGAUGAAUUUGGUACUUUCCAAAAGUUGCCAGAGUGAUGACAUACCUGAUCAUGAGAAAGGAACAUGGAUAUCUUUCCUGAAGUGCCAUACUCAUUCCAAAUGUAUCAAUGUAGCCAUGCAAACUGGUUGAUAAAAGUACCCAAAAUGACAGUACCCCCACAGACAGUUGGAACGCAGACUGAUCCCAUUGGGUUUUUUUCAUUUGGUGAAAAUGCUUCUAGUACUCCCCGAAAGCAGAACCAGAAUACUGCAAUAUCAUUGUUUAGUCCAAUAAAACCACUGGAUCGAAGUGAAGAUACAAACCUGAAUGAUGCAAAGGACACAGAAUAUCAACCUCUGAAUAUUUCAUUACAGGAUACAGAGAAGGAAGUUAUGUAUGACAAAACCGAAGCGGAAAAAGAAAAACCACCGCCGUUGGACCCUGUCACUGAAAGGAACUACAUAUUUUUGAGAAACAUUUGUUGAAUCUGUUUGAUAUAUGUCCACUAUGUACUUGCUAAAGUCAAGGUCACAUCAAAAAAAAAAACCUGACUGUGGAUAUGGAACAAUGAUACGCAUUAAACAGAAAUGCACAAGCUGCUCCUUUUCCAGAACAUGGGACAGUCAACUAAUGUUGAACAAGAUUCCAGUUGGUAACCUAAUGUUGUCGGCAACCGUUCUAUAUUCUGGUUGUCAGAUAAGUCCUAUAUUAUGUAUGCUGCAAAUAAUGAACGUUUUAUCCAAUAGCAGACAAACAUUUCAGUGCAAAUGUGAUGAAACAUCUAUACAAAAUGUAAGCAUGCAGUUCAAUAACAAUGCUAUGAUUCUA